UACGUAGGGUGCAAGCGUUGUCCGGAAUUAUUGGGCGUAAAGAGCUCGUAGGCGGUUUGUCGCGUCUGUCGUGAAAGCUUGGGGCUUAACCCCAAGUCUGCGGUCGAUACGGGCAGGCUAGAGUUCGGUAGGGGAGUCUGGAAUUCCUGGUGUAGCGGUGAAAUGCGCAGAUAUCAGGAGGAACACCGGUGGCGAAGGCGGCGUUCUGGACUGUAACUGACACUGAGAAACGAAAGCCAGGGUAGCAAACGGG
rnacentral:rRNA from 1 species